AUAGCUUCGUAUGUAUGUUGGCCAUUCUGGUUUCAGCCAAAGACCGAGAAACAUUGCAUCAUAAUUAUUCUGAAAAGUUACAGGAAAACGCAAGUCAAAAGAUGUCGGCUACUCGUCACUUAAUUUGUCUCGGGAUUUUACUCGCUUUACUCUGUUGCGCAGCCCACAGCGCGAUUAUCUGCAGUCCCGCAUGCCGAGCGGGAUACACGUGCCGUUGGAGUGAACAACGUGGUAAUGGAGUUUGCAAAAUUAACAGCAAUUGUGCAGACUGUGUGUACGCGGGAGGAGGUUAGAUGUACUUAAGUUUUUUUUCAAGAUAUGUAAUAAAAUUUCAAGAGAAAUACAUAAUUGGGUCUUUACGAUGUUUAUAAGUUAAUAAUCACUUUCCGAUUCCAUACUUAUUUAGAUUUCCUAUUAGAUAAACUGUCCUAUUAUGCAUUAGAAGCGUUCUGAUUUUACGGCUUUCCGGACAUGAAAUAAAGUAUGUAUCUGUACCAA